GGUCAGAUGGCCGAGUUGGUCUAAGGCGUGAGACUAAGGCACUGUAUAAUCUCAUCUCUUCGGGGGCGUGGGUUCGAAUCCCACUCUGAUCA